rnacentral:tRNA from 1 species
GGACCGGUCGUCUAGUGGCUAGGAUGACGCACUCACACCGCAAGGGUCAUGGGUUCAAAUCCCAUCCGGUCCA